AGACAGGUGACCGGAGUGGCGGUCAUGGAAUGUCGGUGCGGUGACGUGAUGGGUUAAGGUCAUCUGCUGAAGACCUAUACGAAAUUUGUCAGAUUUGUUGGAGAAAGCUCGGCUGGAAGAAAAAGGAGAAGAUGAAGACUCCAGAUGGAGGUGAAUAUGUUUUAGUAACAAUGAAACUCUCCCACUGGAUAUAUUCACUCUCAUAGGAGGUACGAUAAAUAGGAAGUUACGUGAAAUGUAUAUGCAACUGACAGUCUGGCAGUGAUACAGUCACCUGAUGAUAAGAUCCAUGACUGACUGAUGAGAUGCCAUGCACUGAGUAUUAAGAAAUUGUGGUCUCAUCAGCUAAAACAGUGUCUCAUAUGCAAGAUAAAUGGAGAAAUUGGAUUGACUUUAGUGAAAAUAAAGAGCCAUGUGCAGAAAGAACAACAAGUAACAGGAAAGCAGUAGGAACGCUCCAUGAAAGCAGCUCCGGGAAGGCAUCUCUGUGUGAAAGCAAACAUAGAAGAGUCGAGACACAAAAUGAAUCAGAAGGCUGGUACACUGAAGGUGUUCAGAACCAAAAAGAUAGGGAUACUGUUCUAAAUGAAAUGAAACAAGACAUUGUCUAUAUCAAACAAACAGUUGCAAAGAUCCUUCAGAGAUUGGAGGAAAUCGGUGAAAUCGGGCAGUCAUCACCUUGCAACAAUAUGGUAGUGAAAGUCGGCCAUCAAGUCACUGGAUUGGUUUGAAGGAUGACGAUAUUGCAGUCAAAGCAGUGAUGAAAAAUCCGAAUGAAGCAACAGUUGCAAAAUUUUGAUUUUUUGGUGAACUAACGCACGAGAACAAGGAAGCAAACUUGCUUGCUGCAUGCAUGGAUGUGGCGGACAAAAGUUGGCAGAGGAUCUUAUCAGAAAACAGUGACAUUUACUGGUAGCAAAAUUGGAUGCAGAUGAUGUUGCUGAUCAUUUAUACCAACGAGAGAUAAUAUCAUCUGGUGAGAUAGGAAAUAUUAAUGACACUGAUGAUCUUGGGAAAAGAGGAGAACUUUACUGAAGUUGAUUAUGAAACGUCCGUGGGUUGACGGAGUACAAUUUGCAACGAUACUUUCAAGUAGUGAAGUGAACUGUGAAGUCGGACAAAUGCUGCUAUGCAAUACAGCGGCUUCUUCAUCUUUCUUCACAUCCUCUCAUGUGCACAAGACGAGCGGAGAGUGAUGAUAUUGUAUCUCUUUGCUCUUUGUGUGUGAGGUGGAGGGCUGUGAAAAAGUAGGGCUUGCAUAUUGUUAGUUGAGCGUUUGCAUUUGUAGGGUAGGAAAUGGUUGGAAGUCCAGAAUAUGUUGAUGACUCGCCACUACUGCCUGACCUGCACAGUAUGGUUCAGUCGGCUGUUGACUAUCGGCAGGAACGAUAAUUCAAACCGAUAGUGGACAUGAUUAGAGAGAUACUUGAUUGUUUGACCGACAAGCAGUUUUAGCCUGGUUAUUGAUAUCAAUUAGUGGUGAAAAUGUUAGGUUGACAAUGUAUUUGUUGUCAUAGAAUAGGAGUUUUUUUAUAGAUUAGUGCAAACACUGUGGCUUGUUUGCAGUCACUCGUAACUGAUUUUUAUUGUUUUUAUAGUUAAGUCGAUCUCAUUUAUUUGUAUGUUUUAGAAUUUGUCGUGCAGAUUGGUUAUUAUGUGUGUAUGAGUUAGUCAUCAGAGUCAUGUUUUCUCAUGAUGAAAGAUAAGCAGACGA